UACGGAGGGUGCAAGCGUUACCCGGAAUCACUGGGCGUAAAGGGCGUGUAGGCGGACACUUAAGUCUGGCUUUGAAGACCGUGGCUCAACCGCGGGAAUGGGCUGGGAACUGGGUGUCUGGACCUCGGGAGAGGGAACCGGAAUUCCUGGUGUAGCGGUGGAAUGCGUAGAUACCAGGAGGAACACCGAUGGCGAAGGCAGGUUCCUGGACAGAAGGUGACGCUGAGGCGCGAAAGUGUGGGGAGCGAACCGG
rnacentral:rRNA from 1 species